rnacentral:tRNA from 1 species
GAAGGUAUAGCUCAGUGGUAGAGCAUGUGCUUAGCAUGCACAAGGUUGUGGGUUCAGUUCCCAGUACCUCUA